UCCUCGAUCCCAUCUUGACCUCCAUCCCGCUGUCUCCUGCCCCGUGCCGUCCGCCCGACACCACAUCAAACGGGAGCGCGUCACUCCCUAGACGGCGGCGAUGAUGGAGGGCGCCGCCCAGCUCCUGACCGGCGGAUUCGUCGGCUCCUCGCUCCUUGGGGCCAGCCCCUCCCCGUUGCCGGAUCGCGCAUCGGCUUGGAGGCCCCUUGGGGAUGCCGCCGGUGCGGGAGUCCUGUGCGGCCGUGCGGGCUGGGAACCGAGCGGUGACGUUUAACAGGGAGCUAGAGCGGCCUCACCCACCCACAUCAGCGGCGCAGAAAAACAAGAUUCCGACGAAGAAGCGGCGACCGGCGAGAGAGCGAUCGAGGAAGGAUGCCAUCUGCGGCGCCGGCGGUCCUGCUGGUUGCGGCCGUGUGGGUGCUCCUGUCGGCCGGCCGUGCUGGCUGACGGCAACGGCACGACGUGCCUGUGCAUGGGCACGCGGUGUGUGCCGCCCUGCCCUGUCCCGGGGACGCCGCUACCGACGACGUCGCCCACGCAGUUCCCCUUCUGCCCGCAGCGGCUGCAGGCGACCGGGCCCUUCCCGUGGGAGCAGCAGCCGCCGGCGGCGACGAGGACGGGGUUCCCUCAGGACACAGGGUUCCUUGCGGCGGCAGUGGCGAGCCCGGUAGGACGACGGCUGUGACGGUGGCCGCCGCUUGCUCUGCUUUCUUGCUGCUCGCCCACCUCUAUAGACCAGUAGAUUCAGAGAUAAUGCGGGGGUCCUCCUUGCUUAAGCACCAGCAUGGUGGGGACUUUCAGAGGUUGCCGCCGAUGGCGAGUCCAAACCAGAUGCAUCAUCAUCCGCCGCCCCCAAUGCCUAAUUUCUGUGGAAAUGGUUUUGGCCCGUGGAACCACGGUGCGCAUCCAAAGGGGGCGCCUGCGUUGAAGCCACAGACCACGGUAGCGUAGGCUUGCAUGGGGGCGGCGGCCAUGGCGGGGAGGCGGCGUUGCGCUCGAGCGCUACAUCAGGCGGCGGCAGCGAGGCGGGAGGCGCGUGCGGAGAAUGCAUCAAAUGUUUGAUGAAUUGCUUGAAGAAAAUGCAUCGGGUCCUUUCUUGCAUGCUUCAAGUCUUC